ACAUCCAUUUUAAUUUCCUGUACUAUACUGAAAAGUAUAUAUUUUCUUGCCAAGUAAGACUAUGUAAGACUGUGGGAAAUCCAGUAUGGUGGUCGGGAGUAUGGGCUGGGAACUCAGCUGAUGCUCUGAGUAUUAUUUGUUGUGGAAUCCUGGGUCUUUCUUUAACCUUUCCCAGCCACAGUUCCUCAUCUAUAACAUGGAGAUGGAGUAGGGCUUUCAUGAAAUUUAGACAACAGGCUCAACACAGAACAAGGGAACGAUAAGUAGCAGGUUUAAUGUUUACAAAAGGAGACUGGAAAGAGACGGCAUAGAAAGGAAUGGGUAAUGCAGGUGUGGUAGAAAGCGCCUUGCUGGGAGUGGGGCCACUAAGAUCAAUAUGUCAAUAUUUAAAACGCAGUUGUAUUUUUACACAGGAUCAAUAAGUAAACUGGAAGCGAAAUUAAGAAAACCAUUCCAUUUACAGUAGCAUCAAAAGAACAAAAUAUUUAGGAAUAAGUUUAACAAUAAUGUACAGUUUAUAUUCUGAAAACUACAGAAAAUUGUUGAAAGAAAUUAAAGAUGAUUUAAAUAAAUGGAAAGACAACCCAGGUUCAUGGUUUGGAAGACUUAAUAUUAUUGACAUUUGCUCUCCAAAUUGAUCUACACAUUCAAUUUACUCUCAAGAUCCUGUUCAAGAUGGGAGAUCAAAUCCCCAAUUAAACUUAAGAUGGCUGUAGGUCAGUGUGGCCAGUUUUUCUAAGACAGGAAAGCCAAGAAAACCUUAAACUUAAAGGACUUUGUUAAAGGGGAAUGAUUUGAAAAAUAGUUAGGACCAUCCCCAAAGGUGUAGUAACUUCAUUGUAAUCUAAUUAAUACAACCCCCUGUCUCCCCAUCUAAUCUUAUCCCUUUGAAUCUAUGGAGCCCUACACAGGGUACUUUGAGCCUGGUGCCUUCUGGAUGCCCCCUACUUGACUGAAACAAACUCAGGUAUCACCAGAAGAGCCUUGUAACAAAAACAGGCGGGUCUAGGAGUUACAAGACCUGGGUUAGAAUUCCUGUAUGUGCAAGCUUGGCCAACUCAACUUCGUUGAUCCUGUUUCCCUCACUUAUAGGAAAGGAUCAUUCAGUGGUGCACUGGUAAAUGUUUAACCAUCAGCUCUCCGUUUGCCAGUUUCUGUGGUGUAAAUACUCUCACCCCAGCCAAUUUCCAGCCACCAGUGAGUUGGGAAUAGAUAUGCACAACUAGCUCUCAUGAGCUGGUAACUGCCAGCUCCAGCAACACCUCUUAAUACUUAGGUUACAGGGUUUUUAAGAUGAUUAAAUGUGAACUGUAUGAAAAAUAAUUAGUGGAGUGCUUUAGUAGAGCAUCAGUAAGUAAAUACCUAUUGGGUGAGGUGCUCAGAAAGGAGGCAUUUAUUUUGGGCCCACUCCGAGGGGUGAAGCUUAGGCUGGUUCACUGGGAGAAAAGCUGGUGGGCUGGGGAACGGAAGUAUGAGAAAGAGAAUGAAACUGAGCUCUUAUCUCAAUAUCGGUAUCUGGGAGGGCAUUGAGGGUAGCAUCUUCCUGAAGGAAGUUCUGUGAUUUCUGGAGCCUAGUGGGCCGCUGGUUAUUUAUGGCAGGGGUUCUCAAACUUUAUCAUGCCUUAGAAUUUUCUGGAGUAUUUGCUAAAACAGAUUGCUGGGUUGUAACUGCAGAGUUUCUGAUCCAGUAGGUAUAGGGUAAAACUGAGUAUUUGCAUUUCCAAGAAAUUCCCAGGUGAUGCUUGACACGCCUGUUUGGGACUCACACCUGGAGAACACCGAAAUUAUAGCAAUGAAGGCUAGGGGGCUAGAGAUGGAGUAUUCUCUGUCUUGGCGGGUAUCUCUGGCUCUCUUUCUCCAGGGUUCAGGGCUCCAUAUUCCUCCUCUUGCCUCUCUGUGCUGCUUUGGCAAAAAUGAUUUCUUUUAUUUGGCAAAAAUGAACUGCGUGUGAUUAUCUCUGAAGGUAAGACAGGGUGAUUUAUAUGAGUUCAUUUGUCAUUUUUCUUGAACAAUGAUUACAAAUUUCCUGUGGAGGACAGUUACAGCUGCAAAGAUGUUGUGUUCUUUGCCAUGAACAGCUUUCUACCUAGGACUUCACUGGGGAACCAGGCUGGGCAAGGGACUUGGGAGAGAAUGGAUCACCAGGAAGUAUGAGGACUGGUGAACAGUCAGAUCCUGGGGCUGUGCUGUCCAUAUCAGCCACAUGUGGCUUUUACAAUUUCAUUCAAAGUAGAUAAAGUCUGGAGUUCCCUGGUGGCCUAGCAGUUAGGGAUUCGGUGUUGUCAUUUCUGUGUCUCGGAUUUGAUCCCUGGCUUGGGAACUUCUGCAUGCCAUGGCCAUGGACAAAAAAAUUAAAAAGGAGAUAAAAUCUAAAACUCAUUUCCUUGAUUAUACUAACUACUUUUCAAGUCCUCCAUGAUCACAUGUGGCUAGUGGCUAUCACACAGGAUGGCUCAGAUAGAACCUUCCCACCAUGGCCGGAAGUUCUAUGGGACAGCACUGGUCCAGAGGACGAAUGAAGAGAAGGUGGGGAAGGCUUUGAGGAUGAAGGGAUUGGUGAUAUCCCUCGAGAAAUGAGCUUCUGCCCCAUCCAUAUCAGGCUGGGAAGACUUUGGAGAAACUUUACGCUUCAGACAAUCUGUAGAGACUGCAAAGCUCUUUAAAUUAUAACGUCCCAAAUUGAAAUUAGUCCACGGUGUCCCAGCCCUUAUCCCGCAAAGCUGUUUUGCAGUUAGGGCUCGAAAACCAUGAAUGGCAUUGGAUUGAAUGCUUUGACUGCUUUCAUAGUCAACCCUUUAUUUUUCCUACAGCUUCCUGCUCAGUGCCAUGGCCUUUCUAGGAAGAAGGGUAUGCCAGGAAAUGCAGGUUGGGUGCUCUCAGGCUACCACCCUACUCGGGAAUUGUCUUCCUGUCAGCUGUGUGUGACUGGAUGGUAGGUGAAGGGCUUUUGGCUUGUUUCCACUGAGUCACCAGGACUCGGCUACACUGAUGACAGGGCCUCCCUCCUAGGGGCCCGGCUGUGUCUCAGGAUCCCAUUGGGAGUAGGACAAGAAAGUCUCAGGUAUGCUUGACGUUAUGCAGGUCAGUGUGGUCACACUUAUCCAAAGAAGAGAGGAUCCAAGAAAACCUUGAACAUUUAAGACUUUAAACUGUAUCUCAAAUGACACUGAACUAAUUUGUGCAGCAGAGGCCGUUUUGUUCUGCAGUCAAUUCCCUUCUCUCCCACAUCUUCUAACACUGAUUCUGCCUCCAAAACCCCAGGCCCCACCCCUUUAAAGAAGGUUUAGUUAAUUCCUAAAUUUACAUAUAAUUUUUCUAGUUUUCCCCUCCAAGAUCUUUUUGUUUCUGAUGCUCUACUGCAGCAGUUUUCUCCAGAAAGUUAUUUCAAUGCCUGGGCAAGGAGGAGGGUCUCCAGAUCCUGGAGAUCUGGAGAGUUUAAAUGAAAGUGUAUCCAAAGGAGGCCUCAGGUUUGGAGGAAAGCACUGGGAAGGGCAAAGAGAAGAAGGAACCCAGAUACAUUCUUUGCAAUAGUAAAAGGAUCAUGUAGAAGAAUCCAGGUUUUAAGUGUUUAGGGACGUGGGGCAAUGAAUAAUCAUUCCUUACCUGUACACGAUGAUUCCUGGUUUGUAAAGUUUUUUAAUAUGAUCUUAUUUUGACCCCUCUACAUUCUUGUGAGGUAGUAAGAGCAGGUGGUACUGUUCCUAUUUUACAGAUAAGGAAAAAUUUUCAAAGAGUUCGGCUGGAAUUCAUCCUCUGUCUGCUGGUACCGAAUUAAAAGGCAGAGACAGAUUUUUAGGUAAAGAAGAAAAAAAUAGCUGUAUUGCUUUGCCAGGAAAAGGAGGGUCACAGCAGGCUAAUACCUUAAAGACUGUGCCCCCCCCCCCCUUAGAAAGAAUUGCUAGGAGUUCUAUAGUAAAAAGGAGAAAAACAUGUUUUCAGAUAGGAAUCAGGAUUGGGACAAACAUGCACUCUUCUUUCUUUGGGGGCAUUUUAGGCAUCAAAGCUGGAGUCAGGAGAUGUUCAUGAUGCUGGCUUGGGUUACUGCCUAGAAAAACAGUACUUGUGAAAAGGGCAUAUUGAUCAAAGAAGAGAACAAACAAGGCAUGUGCUAAUAACCUUUAACCCACAGGCAAUUAUGCUCAAGGUGCCUAAUCUUUAGCUUACAGGCAGUGGUGUUUAGGGUGCAAUUAAGUCAGGGAGAAGGACAAGGAAGGACUCUAAGCUGUUCAAUUUUAUUCAUUUCUAAAAGAAGCAUAAGGAAUAUAACUUUUCUCUUAGGUGUAUAAGAUGCCUAUAUUAUUAUGUGUAUUCCUUUUUCCUUGAGAGGGAGCCAGGUUCCUGCCCCAAGGCUGUACUAUUGUUGCUUGACUGUUCCCCUCUUGUCUUUGCAUUCCCUUCCUUCUCUGAUCAGCAACUGUCUGAACCUGUCCCUAGGAACUCAGGGAAGGUCAUGGUGGCUGAAUGAGGCCCGUUUCCUAAGAACAAGAAAUGUGGGACACAGAAAGGAUCUUGUACCCAGGAACCCCACAGGGCCGUGUCUCGUAUCAAGAGUGACAAUUCCAAGAAUCCCACUGCACCCCAAGCCAAUUAAAUCAGGAUUUCUGGAAAUAGGGCUGUCAGUUUUUCAAGCUCUCCAAGUGAUUUCAACAUACAGCCAAACAAAACAGCUCGCCUCUUUAAAACAGUGCUUCUGAAAAUUUGAUAUGCAGAGGAAUCACGUGGGGAAUCUUGUCUGUAAGCCUGCAAUUCUGCCUUUCUAAAGCUCACUCGGGAAAAACAACUGAUCUAAGGAUCACACUUUGAAUGUGCCUGGCUUCAAAGACAUUUUUUGGGGGAAAUUCCGAGUUCUCAUGCAGGCUUCAGUGAAUUCUUAUAGUCCAGAGAUCCAUGUUAGCAGGACACCAAGAUAUGUGGUGGCAAAAUCUCUUGGGAAUCUUAUUUCUUAAAUGCAGGAACAUAUGCAAACAAGAUGAUCAGAAAUCUAGCAGCCACCUUUGGUCAAAUAGCCAAAAAGACAAAAAGCCAAAAAAAAAAAAAAAAAAAGAAAAAGAAAGAAAGAAAAAGCAUUGCAGCAGACAUCCUAAAUUCCUUAGCCCACAUAAUAAUAGAUAAAAGGGUUACCUGUAAUUUUUCUACUGACUAAAGAAGGAGGUAUUGGUGCUAAUAUUCACACUAUUUGUUGCACUUACGUCAUUACCCUUGGAGAGGUUUAGACAUGCUUAGGAAAAAACUUCUCAAAAGACACAACGGGCUCUAAGAUGUAACUUGUAACAUCUUGCUCCUUGACAGAAGGGAAGCUCUAGCCAAGACUGAAGUUCCUGCUACCAAGAGACAAUUGGGAUUCCCAGGAAUAGUGAUUUUCUGCUGCAUUUGGAUUCAUAGCAAAACCCCCUUAUGAAGCUCUUAAGGCAGGAGACUGUGAACCUCUAGAUUGGACUAAGGAAUGCUAUAAGGCACUCCAGGUUAUCAAAGAAAAACUGAUAACUGCUCUAGCUUUAUUUAUUUAUUUUUGGUCUGGUCAGCAGCAUGCAAAAGUUCCUGGGCCAGAGAUUGAACCCGUGCCACAGCGGUUAAAGAUCCAAUGAUAGAUCUUUAACUCCCAGGCCACCAUGGAACUCCUGCCCUGGUUUUAGGUCUUGCAUGUAUCAGAAAGCCUUCUGACUUACUUGUUCAUGAGAUGCAAGGAAUCAGCCUUGGAGCUGUAGCUCAGAACCUGGGUAGCCUAAGGAGGCCUGUUUCAUAUUUCUCAAAGCCAGUAGGUACACUUGCUAAGGGAUGGCCAGUCUGCCUUCAAGCUGUAGUGACUUCUGUGAUCUUUUACAAGAAAUGGAGAAAUUUAUACUAGGACCACCUAUGACUGUGCACCUCACUGUAUUCUCCCCAGCCCACCCUGAACAAAAGAGCAAAUGUGGGUUAACUUCAGGAAGAUUGGGAAAAUAUCAGGCUUAUAUUAUUGGAUAAUUCUACUGUUACUCUAAAAGCAGUCUCUGCCUUGAAUCUUGCCCCUUUGCUCCGGAUGGAUACUAAAGUGCCUAUACAUGGUGGUAUUCGGAUAAUCAAACAGGUCUAUUCCAGCCAUUCAACCUGAUGGAUUGGCCUUUGGAAGACCCUUUUCCAGACCUUGAGGUGUUCAUAAACAGGAGUAGCUUUAUGGACCAGGAAUGACACAAGCCUGGGUAGAUGAUGGUGACUGAUCAAGACACUGGAAGCAGAAGCCCUUCCACCAGGUACCUCCACACAAAAGGCGGAACUUAAAGCCCCACCAAAGCCCUCUCUCAAGAUAAGGGUAAGAGUAAUUAUUUUCACUGAUUGUGAAUUUACUUUAUUGGUGGUCCAUUCCUGUGGGACCUUUGGAAGAAAGAAGACUUUUCAAUGCAGGGAAGAAGGAAAUUAAACAUGCCAAAGAAAUUUUAAACUUAUUAGAAACUAUCAUGGAGCAAAAAGAAUUGGCUAUUGUUUGCUGUCCCGGAUGUCAGAAAUUGACUGCUUAAGGGAAUAAUCCAGCAGAUUAAAUGGCAAAGCUAGCAGCCAUGACUAAAACACAUAGAUCUGCGAUUUGACAAGAGGCUAUCCAGAGUAUUCUCCUGAAGAUUUAGAAAAUGCCAGUGAAUGGGGAUUGAUGGGCAUCCUGGCCAUUUUCAGGAUGACAACUUAGAAGUAUACCAAGGAGGGGUAGAUUUAUAAUAGAUGAGGCAAAGUCCUUUUAUCUGAACAGCUUGUGGAAGAUGUAAUAAACUGUAAACACCAGAGUACCCACUAUGGGAGAAAUGCCACCCUCCAGUGGAUUCAUAAGUUCAUUUUAGGACAAGAAAUGCAAAGGAUAAUUCAAAAGAUGAUACAGAAAUGCAUCGAUGGGCUAAAAAUAAUCCUAAUACUGAGCUGCCAAAGGAAUGGACCCAGCAGAAGACUGGCAGGUGGUACUGCGAUGCCAGGAGCCACUAGAAAUCUUGAGUGCUUACAAGUAUUUGUGGACACUUGUCCUGGUUGAGGCAGAAGCAUUCCUUUAUCGGACUGAAAAAAGCUUCUGAGGUUGUUAAUGGCCCACCAAAGGAAACAAUUCUGAGGUUUGGGUUACCUGUAUCCAUACCAAGUAACAAUUGGAGAUUCUUUUUAGCAAGAAUGACUCGAGAAGUACCUAGAGCCUUAAACCUUCAUCAGAAAUUACAUACUUCUUGGUGAUCCCAAUCUACUGGCAAAAUGGAAAAGAUGAAUCAUACUCUUAAAAAGGAUGUAGCUAAAAUAUGUCAGUCUAAUUUAACCUGGGAUAAGGCCUUACUGGUUGCCCUGCUUCAAGUGAAGAUGGCUCAUAGAAGCUCCAGUUGAGCCCCUAUAAAAUUCUGUAUGGGAGACCCUUCUAUUUUUCAGAAAUGGUUUAGGAAAUCCAGAAGAAACUCAAGGAACUAGACACUGUCAAGUAUGUACAAUCACAGAGACCCACUCUAACUGCUGCAAUUUGCUUCUAGCAGGUUGGUAUUUCUCAUGGAUAUGCCCCUCCACCACUUCUGUCCUAGAAACUGGGUCUUGCUAAAAUCUUGGGAGAGAAAAACAUCCAGAAGACCACCUUCAUCCCUGUUGGACUGGACCUUAUGAGGUGCUAUUCGUGACCCAUUCCUUGGUGAAGAUGAAGGGAAUUAAGCCACAGAUUCAUCGCACUUGAGUUAAGCCGGUCUAGCAGAGAUCAGCCUAGACAAGAAUGCAACAGGAAAGGGAAACCAUGCUGCAGAACAGAACCAGAAUUGAGAACAUCCAAACCUUGGCUUCUUCUGCACCCCUGAUACUGACUUUCCUGAGUGGAAAAGUGAAGCCCUUAAAUGCUUUCCAGGAGGAAGACUCAAAAGAAAUUGAGGCUUGGAAAGACUCUCAGUGACAGGGAUUUCUCAGACUUUGGCCAAACCCCUGUUAGGUCUGCAUCCCUUAUCAUCAGGAAAUAGCCAGAGUAUCAUCAGCCCUCUUCCUUCAAGAUUGAGGAAUGAUCAAAAUAUGGGGGAACUGAAGCCAAAGGAAAAGGAGGAUGUUUGCUGUUCAUUCACUUGAGCACCGACUGCUCUUCCCUGAUCUUGGCUGAUUCUAGCGCUGCUCCUUUGCUGCUAGCACCUGAGCCAUGGCCUCAGGCUUGCCCUGUCCUACACUACUCCUCCUAUCUGAAGAUGGAGAAACAGGAAUGCUCUCUGCCUCUCAUACCUGCCAGGUACUCCCCUUGGCCGGCAAGCUACCCAAACUCAGGUGGGGCAAUAUCCAGUAAGUCAUGUCCCCACUGUGGGGGGCAGCUGAUGGGAUUGAUCUGGGUCCAUUCCCCCUUUUCAACUUUGUAUUUAUUUAAUUAAAAACCAAUAGGCCAAUGUAGAUAAUACUAUCCAUGCUCCUUGGAUCAUCUCUCUCUCUUUUUUUUUUUUGUAACCCACAACCCAACCUGGGCAGAUGUUCAGAAUUUAUUAAAUAUCUUCUUCACUUCAGAAGAAUGUAGAAUGGUUUUGGAUAAUGCGAGGAAGGAGGCAGAUGGGCUUCAUACAGAAUAAACCCUGGAC